rnacentral:lncRNA from 1 species
AGCAAUGUGAUGGGUAAAUAUCAGUUAAAGUAAGUUGUACUUACAAACUUUAUUGUACUUUUACAGACAAUUCAUCAAUUAAACUUUGUGUCAAGUUUACUUUUAAUUCAAUAAUAAUUAAGGAAUACACAAAUGUGACAAUUUUGACUGAAGUUUUCUAUUUGUAUCAUAACAUGAAUACCAAUUACUUUUAAAUGCCAUUAAUGGUUUACAUAUUUUUUUCAGUACAUGCAUGAAGAUGACUUGGAGGCAAUGGUGUCAUACAAGUUAGUUUUAACUAUGAUAGCCUAACUGAAAUUUGAAAAAAAGUAAUCAGAGAAAAAGAGUGACCACUUCUUUCUUAUGAAGAUCAACACACACAAGGAAAUUAUCAGACAAUUUGUAACCAGAUAUGGGGGCAGUUUUAGAUAUAUGCAUGAAAAGAAAGUGAAAUCAAUGUUUUUAAGAUAAAAGCUUGAUGAUAUAACAAAAAUAUAACAGUGCUGAAUAUGAAAACCCCAUGCCAUGUCACAUGUAACUUUUGGAAUGCAGCAAUUUUCAGUAUGACAAUAAAAGGAAGGAUUUCAUUACUGUUAAAACUGACUCUGAAACAUUGAAGACAAAGAAAUAAAAUUUGUACAUCAGAGGAAAUGACUGUGCACUUCUUUUUUGAAGGAUCAACACACAAAAGGAAAUGUUCAUAUCAUUAUGCAUCAUGUGCAGUAGUUGAG